GACGAACGCUGGCGGCGUGCUUUACACAUGCAAGUCGAACGGUGAAGGCGGAGCUUGCUCCGCCGGAUCAGUGGCGAACGGGUGAGUGACACGUGGGCAACCUGCCCCUAACUUUGGGAUAACUACUCGAAAGAGUAGCUAAUACAGGAUAUGAAGUCUGUAGGCAUCUACGGACUUGGAAAGUUUUUCGGUUAGGGAUGGGCCCGCGGCCUAUCAGCUUGUUGGUGAGGUAGUGGCUCACCAAGGCGACUCCGGGUAGCCGGCCUGAGAGGGCGCGCGGCCCCACUGGGACUGAGACACGGCCCAGACACCAACGGGAGGCAGCAGUGGGGAAUAUUGCGCAAUGGGCGAAAGCCUGACGCAGCACCGCCGCGUGCGGGAUGAAGGCCUUCGGGUUGUAAACCGCUUUCAGCAGGGAAGAAGCGAAAGUGACGGUACCUGCAGAAGAAGCACCGGCUAACUACGUGCCAGCCGCCGCCGUAA
rnacentral:rRNA from 1 species